rnacentral:rRNA from 1 species
UACGAAGGGGGCUAGCGUUGCUCGGAAUCACUGGGCGUAAAGCGCACGUAGGCGGAUUGCUAAGUCAGGGGUGAAAUCCUGGAGCUCAACUCCAGAACUGCCUUUGAUACUGGCGACCUUGAGUCCGGGAGAGGUGAGUGGAACUGCGAGUGUAGAGGUGAAAUUCGUAGAUAUUCGCAAGAACACCAGUGGCGAAGGCGACUCUUUGGUCUGUAACUGACGCUGAGGCGGCGAAAAGCGUGGGGAGCAAACAGG